UGGGGAAUUUUGCACAAUGGGCGAAAGCCUGAUGCAGCAACGCCGCGUGUGUGAUGAAGGUCUUCGGAUCGUAAAGCACUUUCGACCGGGACGAACACCCCUUGGCUAACAUCCAAGGGCCUGACUGUACCGGGAGAAGAAGCACCGGCUAACUCUGUGCCAGCAGCCGCGGUAAUACAGAGGGUGCAAGCGUUGUUCGGAAUUAUUGGGCGUAAAGCGCGUGUAGGCGGCCUUGUAAGUCGGGUGUGAAAGCCCUCAGCUCAACUGAGGAAGUGCGCCCGAAACUGCGAGGCUUGAGUACCGGAGAGGAUGGCGGAAUUCCCGAAGUAGAGGUGAAAUUCGUAGAUAUCGGGAGGAACACCGGUGGCGAAGGCGGCCAUCUGGACGGAUACUGACGCUGAGACGCGAAAGCGUGGGUAGCAAACAGGAUUAGAUACCCCCGUAGUCC
rnacentral:rRNA from 1 species